UCACUAGCUGCUCUGCAUUAGCUCCACCAGGCCAGAGGAGGGGAGAACCGAGCAAUUGAUCUGCUCCAGUGAAGACAGGAAGAAGAGGGAAUCGAGCAGUGUGCUGAGUCCUGCUGGAUGGCUAAUUGAGGAGGUCAAGAAUCGUUGGCGGAGCUGCAGGGACCAGUUCCGCAAAGAGAUGAAACAUCGUGGGCGGAGCGGGUCUGGUCCCUCCAAGAAAAGGCCCUAUCUUUUCAAGGAGCAGCUGAUGUUCCUGCGCGAUGUUAUGGAGCUGCGUCCAACUGAAGACAACCUAGAGGAGGAAGCUGAUGAGUCGGGCCCGCACCAAUCAGGUGCAUGUGAGGAGGACACCACAUCAGCCCAGCCUUAAAGUGGAGCUGGACCAAGCUCAGCACCAUCAAGGCCUCCUGCAGCAUCUGGUGGCGAGUCCCCCACCUCCCCUCUGGCUCUACCCAGCAGGGCCAGACGACGGGCAAUGCCUCCUGCCGAGUCUAACAUCAAUUUGCAAGUUCUAGAUUAUUUAUCUAGAGCACGGCAGGAGGAUCAUCACGACAUGUUUGCCCGUAGUCUGGCCCAUUUUAUGCGUCAGCUACCUCCAGAACGACUACUGCGAACCAGAACUGCAUUAGAAAUAGUUCUGGAGGUAGCUAAUCGCCCCCAAGAGCCGACAGAAAUGUUUGACGCGCUGGAAAGCCUGCGCUGUCAUGGCAACAUAUUUAGCCCCCACCACCCUGCAGGUAGUCAGCCCUCACAGGGCCCCCAACAAUUUCAACCCCAAAGGGAUCCCUAUGGACCACCAACUGCCCCAUAUGUGCCACAGUUUCAGGGGGAACCCUGUUAGUCAGCAGGGACCAUCGUCCAGCCAACCUGGCCCAAGCCAGUACUCUGGACCACCUUCCCAGACACAAUUUCAUGGACCCCAAUAUCACGGCCCAUCGUCCAGCCAACCUGGCCCAAGCCAGUACUCUGGGCCCCCUUCCCAGACACAAGUAACUGGACCCCAAUAUCAGGGCCCAUCAUCCAGCCAACCUGGGCCUAGUCACUACUCCGGGCCUCAUUCCCAGCACCAAAUUUCUGCCCCUCAUUAUCAGGGAGCCUCGUCGCCAUCAAGACGUUAUGUCAAUUUAUAAUUUAUAUUUGUACCCUGUUUAUUUUUUUGGGAAAAGCCAGAAUAUACUGGA